CAGUCCCUUAAAAUCAGGGACAGUUGGAAGCUAGGCCAAUGUAAGGGAGCAUUACAAUGACCAUCAAUGUAAGGGGCCACAGCACUGAUCACCGAUGUCAGGGGGCAUUUCUCCACAGACCACAAGUGUAAAAAGACACAACAGUUUUACUGUUUCCUUUUUAUAUGCGGUCAUUGUUAUGAUUUAUUUAAAUUUAUGAAUAAAACAUUGUACACCUUGCUGAUCAUGCUAAUGUACUAUGAGCUGUAGACAUAAUAAUUUUUAGUAGAGUUUCCUAAAACCUGACAAUUUCAAGGGUUUCCAAUAAUGUAAAAAAAAUGUAAAGAGGUACUUGUUAUCCCCAAUGCAUUUGCUCCUAACAUACUUCCCUUACCUCCUUUAUCUAGCCAAAGUUAUACUGUAUUUCUGUAGUGUCUGUAACACUGUGAUCAUGACUUUGUAAAUUUCUAUUGAAUAUACUUAUGAUAUAUAUAUAUAUAUAUUAGCAUCACUAUUCUAAACACUUAAAUUAAACAAAUUAUUAAAACAGUAGGUGUAAAAAAUACACAACUAUUACUCUGUACAUGAUCUGUAUCACCAUUUUAAAAGUAAAGUUUACAUAUUUUUUAAAAAAGAAAGUUAAAUGUAUUUUUAAUUUUAUUUCUGCUUCUUUAUAUAAUUGUUAAUUUUGCACACCCCUAUGUAUUCUAGGAGACUUUUUAUAACUGCCAAUUUCUAUAAUAGUAGAAAAGUUGCAUUUUAGAAUAUAAAGAAUAUCAACAGGUGAUAAAAAAACGUGGAGGGACAACCUCCUGUGUGUUUCAUUCACUUGCAUGUAUUGUAUGAGAAUAAAAUAAAUUAAAUUGUUUUCCAGA